AUUCUCCUGGAGCAGCUGAGCCUGGAGUCACUACCUGAUGUGCUGCUGUCAGACCAGCCUUAGUACUAUCCAUGUGUCCAACCCUAUGGUCUACCUAUGCCUGCCUGGAACUGCCAGUCUUGCAAAAUGGUGUUGGAAAUAUGGAAGCCGUGUCUGCUGUGGUAUCACCUAUGCUGGAGCAGCCUCAUGGAUCUAUUUUCCCCUUUGAUGACUCUAACUCACUCACCAGAUGGAUGAGAGGCACUGCCAGCUGCCUGGGAAGGCUGUCACUGCUGAGGUUGGCAUCCCGUGAGCUGUACAGGUUAUAAACAUGCAACCAGCAAUUAUGUUUGGAAGGCAGCAGCGUUGCACCUGAUGAUGUCAUGAAAUAUUGACAACUCUUGCUCUGUCUCCGAAAGAGAAGUGAAAAUCUCUGGGGACACCAUUGGCUGUGAUGUUCUGCUAAAUGCAUUUUUGUCAGCACGUGUGAUAUCUGCCCCAGCCAGCUGGUGCCAGUGGUUGUGCUCACGCUGCUCAGGGCCAGAGCAUGGUGACCAUAUCCAGGACACAGAGAACUUGUCCACGACUGUCCUUCCAACUCCAAGCAAUGCAGCUGGGACUGGACAUGAUUAAUGUUUCUUCUGUGUUUUCUCAGUUCAAAGUGAAGAAACAAGAGAACCACGUUGCAUCUGAGAGCAGUUACUUUGAUAGCAUGAAGCUGAGGAUAUCCUAAGCUGCUAUGCACCAAGCCAUGUGGCUGAGGCCACGCAGAAACUGGUGCCUGGGGGUGUCUGUGUGGGACAGUGCUGGAGGAUGGAGUGGGCUGAAGGAAGCCAGUCCCAGAGUAAAUUACCCAUACCACCUCCUCAGACUGUCCAGGAUGAGCCAUUCUCUCCACUGCUCCUGGGACUGUCAGAGGAAACCAGCUGUCCCAUACCCAGAGGAAAAGCAAAUGAAUAUGGUGCUUCUCUGGGGUGGAUACACAGUGGCUGGAAGUCAUGGAAGUAGCUGAGCUGGCUCACAGGCUAGAUGAGGGGCUGACAGCGCAGACAGAACACCAUCCAAUCUCACCGAUUUUGUCAUAUGUGUCAGUGACCUUAUCUCACUAUCAGAGGGCAAGAUCAAGAAAGCUUCCUGGAAAUAGCACUGUGACCCCAGUUCUCACUGACUUAGGGAUGUGAGAGAAACCUGAAUUUGGUUGAGGUCCAGAGGAAUUUUACACUGCUCUGAGUGCAGCAUAUCCACAUGGGACACUGCCGGAAGGAGAGGUCUUGCUCCUCCCCAUCCCUGGCUGGCCUUCCUGCUGCGCUUCCGUCAUCCCAUAGCUACUGAGCGGCCAGCCACUGGGCUGGAGCCAUCUGCCUGAAAGAGACUCCAACAAUUAAAUACUGCCAGGCUGUACCCCAUUUCAGAGCAACCCCUAAUCCUCAGUCACAGGAGGAAAUGAGCCAGCAGGAUUGUCCUGGGACCCAGCUGCAUGCCCCAUCCUGCUCUCUCCCACAUCACUCCUGGAAUUUCCCCUCCUCUCAGCUCAGUGCAGUGCGGUCCAGGAGAAGACUGAUGUCCUCAUGCGACUGCUUUCUGAGUCCAGCACUGCCCUUCAGCCUCCCUUUGGGCUACGUAGAACUGAGAAGGGAUCUGAACCAGAACUUUCCAUCCUGCAAAGGCAGAUAAUUGUGCUGCCCUUGGCUGGCUCCAACCAUCACACCAGCCAGCAAGAGCUCAUGAACCAGCCAUAGACCAGAACAGCAGGGAGUGAGUGCACACUAACCCUGCGUGCUGGCAAGGACUGGCUCUCUGGUGCUUUCUUGUCAGGGUCCAUAGGACUUUAUAAGUCUGCACUUUGGCUACCUAGCUUGAUCCUGCUCUUCCUGAAGCAGUUGCCCUAUGAUCAGAGAUAUCAUCAGCUUACAGCAUACCUGGAGACCUGUGCCACCCUGCUGCAGCCACAGGAAGUGUUGCAGUAGACAUCAGCCAGCCCAGACAUCGCCACAAGCAUGCUGGAAGGGGUGGGAAGGUGGCUAUCCCAGCACUGCAGGGCACCAUUAAAAUCCACACCAGCUCUUGUGCUUUUGCUCUGGGAAGAGAUGUGCUUUCAUCCUCAGGCAAAUCUGUAGCUGUCUCAGAGAGCCGUUUGUUUGUUUGGGCUAUGAAGUAAUGACUUUGAAGGAGAAAAUAAAGCGUCUUGGACUU
rnacentral:lncRNA from 7 species